GAUGAACGCUGGCGGCGUGCCUAAUACAUGCAAGUCGAGCGAAUGGAUUAAGAGCUUGCUCUUAUGAAGUUAGCGGCGGACGGGUGAGUAACACGUGGGUAACCUGCCCAUAAGACUGGGAUAACUCCGGGAAACCGGGGCGAAUACCGGAUAACAUUUUGAACCGCAUGGCUCGAAAUUGAAAGGAGGCUUCGGCUGUCACGUAUGUAUGGACCCGCGUCGCAUUAGCUAGUUGGUGAGGUAACGGCUCACCAAGGCAACGAUGCGUAGCCGACCUGAGAGGGUGAUCGGCCACACUGGGACUGAGACACGGCCCAGACUCCUACGGGAGGCAGCAGUAGGGAAUCUUCCGCAAUGGACGAAAGUCUGACGGAGCAACGCCGCGUGAGUGAUGAAGGUCUUCGGGUUGUAAACUCCUGUCAUUUGGGAACAAGGCGUAUUUAUUAACUGUAAGUACGUUGAUAGUACCAGAAGAGGAAGAGACGGCUAACUCUGUGCCAGCCGCCGCAGUAA
rnacentral:rRNA from 1 species